AGAACGAACGCUGGCGGCAUGCCUAAUACAUGCAAGUCGAACGAACACUUCGGUGUUAGUGGCGCACGGGUGCGUAACGCGUGGGAAUCUGCCCUUGGGUUCGGAAUAACAGUUGGAAACGACUGCUAAUACCGGAUGAUGACGAAAGUCCAAAGAUUUAUCGCCCAGGGAUGAGCCCGCGUAGGAUUAGCUAGUUGGUGAGGUAAAGGCUCACCAAGGCGACGAUCCUUAGCUGGUCUGAGAGGAUGAUCAGCCACACUGGGACUGAGACACGGCCCAGACUCCUACGGGAGGCAGCAGUAGGGAAUAUUGGACAAUGGGCGCAAGCCUGAUCCAGCAAUGCCGCGUGAGUGAUGAAGGCCUUAGGGUUGUAAAGCUCUUUUUACCCGAGAUGAUAAUGACAGUAUCGGAGAAUAAGCCCCGGCUAACUCCGCGCCAGCAGCCGC
rnacentral:rRNA from 1 species